rfam:Rhodnius prolixus Rhodnius_prolixus-3.0.3-8094.1, whole genome shotgun sequence.
CCAGCGAGGCCCUGGAGGACUGAUGUGGAGAAGGGUUUUCUUGUGAACAGCUGUUGCACAAGAGUCAGUCGAUCCUAAGCCCUAGGAGAAAUCCGAAGCGAUAUGCGCCCGUUAAAUAAUUUUUUUUUAUUAAAUGUUUGGCGCUAUCUGGGCGAAAGGGAAUCCGGUUCCUAUUCCGGAACCCGGCAGCGGAACCGUUCCAAAUCGGGCUCUCAUUUGAGAACUCGUCGGGGUAACCCGACAAGACCCGGAGACGCCGUAGGGAAAUUCGGAGAGAGUUGUCUCUUCUCUAUAAGCGUUCGAGUUCCCUGGAAACCUCUAGCAGGGAGAUAGGGUUUGGAACGCGAAGAGCACCGCAGUUACGGCGGUGUCCGGAUCUUCCCUACGGACCUUGAAAAUCCGGGAGAGGGCCACGAGGAACCCCGCGCCGGCUCGUACCCAUAUCCGCAGCAGGUCUCCAAGGUCAAUAGCCUCUAGUCGAUAGAAUAAUGUAGGUAAGGGAAGUCGGCAAAUCCGAUCCGUAACUUCGGGAUAAGGAUUGGCUCUGAGGACUGAGUCGUGCCGGGCUUGGUCGGGAAGUGGAGCGGUGUCAACGUGCCGGGCCUGGGCGAGGAGAAAAUUGCGUUUUUGCGCUUUUGGAUCCGAGCUCGGUCCCGUGCCUUGGCCACCCACGGAUCUUCCUUGCUGCGAGUCGUUAGCCGUGUGGUUACCGCUGGCUUUUGCUAGCUGGUCGACCUGGCUUACGAUCUCUUCGGCCGACAUUCAACAGUCAACUCAGAACUGGCACGGACAAGGGGAAUCCGACUGUCUAAUUAAAACAAAGCAUUGCGAUGGCCCCAACGGGUGUUGACGCAAUGUGAUCUUCUGCCCAGUGCUCUGAAUGUCAAAGUGAAGAAAUUCAAGCAAGCGCGGGUAAACGGCGGGAGUAACUAUGACUCUCUUAAGGUAGCCAAAUGCCUCGUCAUCUAAUUAGUGACGCGCAUGAAUGGAUUAACGAGAUUCCCUCUGUCCCUAUCUACUAUCUAGCGAAACCACGGCCAAGGGAACGGGCUUGGAAAAAUCAGCGGGGAAAGAAGACCCUGUUGAGCUUGACUCUAGUCUGGUACUGUAAGAAAACAUGAGAGGUGUAGCAUAAGUGGGAGGUAGUUUUUUUAAACUGCCGACAAUGAAAUACCACUACUUUCAUUGUUUCCUUACUUACUCGGUGAGGCGGAGGGCGUCCGUCGGGGUGAUACCACCUCGGCGUGACGGUAUUCUCGUGCCAAACGCCAAGGGUUGUCGACGUUCGAUCGUACGCCUUGUCGCGUUUAAGAUGUGGAUAUUCCUAAACGGAAUUGAUGCGUCUUAUUCGUUGUGCAAUGGCGGAUUCGGUCGUAUCGUUCGGCAACAUACUCCCUAGCGUGAUCCGAUUCGAGGACACUGCCAGGCGGGGAGUUUGACUGGGGCGGUACAUCUGUCAAAAAAUAACGCAGGUGUCCUAAGGUCAGCUCAGCGAGGACAGAAACC